CGGACGGGUGAGUAACGCGUGGGUAACCUGCCUUGUACUGGGGGACAACAGUUAGAAAUGACUGCUAAUACCGCAUAAGCGCACAGUAUCGCAUGAUACAGUGUGAAAAACUCCGGUGGUACAAGAUGGACCCGCGUCUGAUUAGCUAGUUGGUAAGGUAAGGGCUUACCAAGGCGACGAUCAGUAGCCGACCUGAGAGGGUGACCGGCCACAUUGGGACUGAGACACGGCCCAA
rnacentral:rRNA from 1 species